CAAGGGUGCACUCUGCAUGAACAUCGAAAGAGAAUUGGGUUAAUAUUCCCGAACCGGGACAUGGUGGUGGACGACAAUGUUAGGAAAUCUGGAGAUGUCAUCGGGGGCCUGGGAAGAGUUAUCUUUUCUUUUUAACGAAUUUCCCACCCUGAAAUCGGUUCAACCAGAGAUAGGGUCCAACAUCUGGAAGAGCACCACACAUCUUGCGGUGUUUGGUGCCCCCUUGACGGCCAUUGAAAAUAUGGAGAACAUAGUACCAUCCAUGCUCGAUCGUACUCAUAUCUGCCUCCUUGGAUUUUUCAAUGCCCACUAGGUUAGAAAUCU
rnacentral:ncRNA from 1 species